GGGGCGUUAGCUCAGUUGGUAGAGCAGCGUGCUUUUAACUCGUUGGUCGAGCGUUCGAAUCGCUCACGCCCCACCA
rnacentral:tRNA from 1 species